rnacentral:tRNA from 1 species
GCAACCGUAGCUUAAUUAAAGCAUAACACUGAAGAUGUUAAGAUAAACCUUAGAAAGUUUCGGGAGCA